AGAGUUUGAUCCUGGCUCAGGAUGAACGCUAGCGGCAGGCCUAACACAUGCAAGUCGAGGGAGGAGCUUUCGGGGCUUCGACCGGCGUACGGGUGCGUAACGCGUAUACAAUCUGCCUUUCACAUAGGGAUAGCCCGAAGAAAUUUGGAUUAAUACCCAAUGGUAUAUAGGAGUGGCAUCACAUUUAUAUUAAAGCUGAGGCGGUGAAAGAUGAGUAUGCGUUCUAUUAGCUAGUUGGAGAGGUAACGGCUCCCCAAGGCGACGAUAGAUAGGGGUUCUGAGAGGGAUAUCCCCCACACUGGUACUGAGAUACGGACCAGACUCCUACGGGAGGCAGCAGUGAGGAAUAUUGGACAAUGGUCGGAAGACUGAUCCAGCCAUGCCGCGUGCAGGAAGACGGCCUUAUGGGUUGUAAACUGCUUUUACAGGGGAAGAAUAAGGAGUACGUGUACUUUGAUGACGGUACUCUGCGAAUAAGCAUCGGCUAACUCCGUG
rnacentral:rRNA from 1 species